rnacentral:misc_RNA from 1 species
AACUUCUAACAAUGGAUCUCUUGGCUCUCGCAGCGAUGAAGAACGCAGCGAAUUGCGAUAAGUAAUGUGAAUUGCAGAUUUUCAGUGAAUCAUCGAAUCUUUGAACGCACCUUGCGCUCCUUGGUAUUCCGAGGAGCAUGCCUGUUUGAGUGUCAUUAAAUUCUCAACCAUGUCUUGAUCGACAUGGCUUGGAGUUGGGGGUUGCUGGCAGCGAAAGCGCGUCAGCUCUCCUGAAAUGCAUUAGCGGGUGGACAAGCAAAGCCUUCCGACGUGAUAACGAUCGUCGUGGGGUAGCGCAUCAACGUCUGUCUGCUUCCAAAUCCCAGAAUGCCUUAGCUACUAGUCUAAAGACGAACACUAAGGUAUCAUUUUCGAAAGCUUGACCUCAAAUCAGGUAGGACUACCCGCUGAACUUAAGCAUAUCAAUAAGCGGAGGCC